CAGGCAAUAGUUUACCAAAACAAUAGCCUUGGACGCUAUAGAGUGGGGGACUCCCCAUUGCCUGA
rnacentral:tRNA from 1 species